GAUGAACGCUGGCGGCGUGCUUAGCACAUGCAAGUCGAACGAAGCAUUUAAGACAGAUUACUUCGGUUUGAGGUCUUUUAUGACUGAGUGGCGGACGGGUGAGUAACGCGUGGGUAACCUGCCUCAUACAGGGGGAUAGCAGCUGGAAACGGCUGGUAAUACCGCAUAAGCGCACAGUACCACAUGGUACAGUGUGAAAAACUCCGGUGGUAUGAGAUGGACCCGCGUCUGAUUAGCUUGUUGGCGGGGUAACGGCCCACCAAGGCGACGAUCAGUAGCCGAACUGAGAGGGUGACCGGCCACAGUGGGACUGAGACACGGCCCAGACUCCUACGGGAGGCAGCAGUGGGGAAUAUUGCACAAUGGAGGAAACUCUGAUGCAGCGACGCCGCGUGAGUGAAGAAGUAGUUCGCUAUGUAAAGCUCUAUCAGCAGGGAAGAUAGUGACGGUACCUGACUAAGAAGCGCCGGCUAAAUACGUG
rnacentral:rRNA from 1 species